CCUGCGGGGGGAUCAUUA
rnacentral:rRNA from 1 species